GUUACAUAACUUCCAAUUUUCACUAUUAUCUAAUCAUCCGCUGUUUAUAUGGAUUAAUAAAUCCGAAGAGUGGCGUUAGCUGAACUACCCGAGGGAAAAGUGAAAAUAAAGUGAAAUUCUUGAAAGAAGCAAAGGGAUAGGAGUACUGGAAAAUCUUAAUACAGCCAAGCCGGCCAACCAAUCUACGGUAUCAACUACUAAAACAACCAAGCUGACCGUUUGGGAGUUAGUGCAGUGCACAUCCACGGCG